CCUAGGGGUGGCAGCAGUGGGGAAUAUUGCACAAUGGUGGAAACCCUGAUGCAGCGACGCCGCGUGAGUGAGGAAGUAAUUCGUUAUGUCAAGCUCUAUCAGCAGUGAAGAAAAUGACUGUACCUGAGUACGACGCCCCGGCUAACUACGUGCCAGCAGCCGCGGUAAUACGUAGGGGGCAAGCGUUAUCCGGAUUUACUGGGUGUAAAGUGAGCGUAGACGGCAGGGCAAGUCUGGAGUGAAAGGCGGGGGCUCAACCCCCGGACUGCUCUGGACACUUUACGGCUGGAGUGCAGGAGAGGUAAGUGGAAUUCCUAGUGUAGCGGUGAAAUGCGUAGAUAUUAGGAGGAACACCAGUGGCGAAGGCGGCUUACUGGACUGUAACUGACGUUGAGGCUCGAAAGCGUGGGGAGCAAACAGGAUUAGAUACCCUGGUAGUC
rnacentral:rRNA from 1 species